rnacentral:rRNA from 1 species
UACGUAGGGUGCGAGCGUUAAUCGGAAUUACUGGGCGUAAAGCGUGCGCAGGCGGUUCGCUGUGUCCGAUGUGAAAGCCCCGGGCUUAACCUGGGAAUGGCAUUGGAAACUGGCGGGCUUGAGUGCGGCAGAGGGGGGUGGGAAUUCCGCGUGUAGCAGUGAAAUGCGUAGAUAUCAGGAGGAAUACCGAUGGCGAAGGCAGGUCUCUGGGCUGACACUGACGCUCAUGCACGAAAGCGUGGGGAGCAAACAGG